rnacentral:lncRNA from 1 species
AAAAAUUGAAAAAGGGCAAGUGCAACAAAAAAAAAAGUGUGUAGAAACAUCCGCUUCUACCGGAAAAAAAAGAAAAGAAAUGAAAAAUAGAAAUGAAGUAUAAGCACUUGCCUAAGUCAAAGACUCAUGCAUUGAUGUGAUACUCAAAAGAAAAAUUGAGUGACAAAGAGUCAAGUUGGAUAACACCCCAUAAAAUAAUUUGUGCACAAGGAAAAGCAACAACAUGAAUGCCGAGUUCUAAACCUUUGUCAUCCAUUUUCUUGUCUACCCCCACCGUACCUAAGCCCCGUUACA